GCUGCACUGAGUAGUUCCAAAACUAAAAUAAAUAGAUAAGGAGACAGAGGAUCCCCUUGACGAACCCCUCUUUUCAAUGAAAAAAAAUCUGAAAUAUAUCCGUUGUUUAACACUGCACUAGAGGCAUCACAGUAGCAUGCCUUAAUCCAACUUAUAAAUGUUUGGUCAAAGCCAUAAAACUGCAAGGCCUCUAGUAUAAAAGACCAUUCGACCGUGUCGAAAGCUUUUUCAAAAUCGACUAAAAGUAAAAGUCCAGGAAUGUCGUCUUCUCUCCAUCUUUUCCAUUAGAUCAUAAAUAAAUCUAGUACAUUCACCUAUGUACCUACCUUUAAGAAAUCCUUUUUGUGUUUGACUUAUUAUAUUUACCAGCACCUUUUUUAGUCUAUUUGCUAAACUUGCUGUAGCUAUCUUAUAGUCUACACACAAAAGUGUGAUAGGUCGCCAGUUCUUUAAAUAAAACUUUGACUUACCCUCCUUUGGUAUACAAGUAAUGAGUCCCUGUCUUUGUGUGAUUGAGAACUUUCCAUAUUCUAAAGCCUCAUUUAAACAUCUUACCAGUGGUAUCUUAAUAUCAUUCCAAAAGAAUUUAUAGAAUUCAACAGUAAAUCCAUCUAUACCAGGUGAUUUGGAAUUCUUCAUAAGUUUAAGAGAGGACAGACAUUCCUGCAUUGUUAAAAGUCCCUCACAGGAACCCACCUCUUCCUCAUUCGGUUUUGUAAUAAAAGGAUUAUCAUGUUGAAGAAAUGUGUCCCUGUGAGUUUCAAGUAACAAUGGUUUACAACUAGUAUAUAAUUUUUUAUAAAACUGUUUUUGCUCAUUUCUAAUAGAACUAGGAUCUGUUAUCUCAGUCUCGUCCUCUAAAAUAAGUUUGGGAAUAAUUUUUUCUGUGUAAUGUUUUUUUUUCCAAAUUACAAAAAUAGUUACUUCCCUUUUCCCCCUCUACUUGCCAUCUUGCCUUAGCUCUUGUAAUUAUCCCUUUUACAUUUUUUUCCC
rnacentral:lncRNA from 1 species